CAGCCAUCGUGAGCCUCCACCACCAAGCAUGAACCAGCUGUGCCUACCCACCUUGCCUUCACCACCGAAACAGAGCAAAACCCCCUCCAUCAGUCCAUCCCAGUCUUCACGUUGAACAAGGUCUGAGAAAACAACGUCGUGUGCCGCGUUGAUCUCUAUCUUAGUCUAUUCUUCUCUGUGACAUAUUGACUUCCCUGCUGCACGGCGUCGCCUCCUCGCCUAGCUAGCUACCCAAUCGUGUUCCACCGUCGCGCAUGGCUUCUCCACUCGGUCCCUAUUUCAGCAAGCUAUCUCCUAUCCUUUCAAUCUGUGUGUGCUACUGAGUUUAUUCUAUAUAAGCUGAAACUGGUGGGGAAGAUAACUAAAGUCCACAGUUUGGCCGAGUUUAUGGCUUAGUACAAGCUUAAAUUGAUAGAGAAGAUAAUUGAAUAAGACAUUUCACUUGUAAAUUUGUAAUGGAAGAGUUUGAAUAUCUGGAUGAUGAUCAGUCUGGAACUUUUUCUGUGUCUGAUAUAACACAUGGUCAAUUAUCUACUCUGGUCAGGUGACCAUACCAUGGAAACAAAUGUUAUUGUUUUGUAUACAUGUAUGAAAUACUUCAUGUAAAAUCAACUUUUCUGCAUGGAUAUGUACUUGAUCUUGGGAUUCUUGGAA